AAAUAAUUAACUUAAUAUUUUUGGUUAAGUUGGUUUUCGUUUAUUUGGACAAAUGUGAUUUUGUGAAUGUAAUAAAAUACUUAUGAAUUCUUAUGAGAUGAAAACGAUUUUCUACCUCUCGUGAUAGUGUGUUUUUUUAAAAAAAAAAUCUAUGUGGGAAACAGUUUUAAAAAGAGUUUUCUAGUUUUCAUGAAUAUUAGUACUUCAAAAUAAGUUUUCGGGUGGGAAACGUUUUAAACUAAUAGAUGUGGAUUUAUGAAUAUCUGUGAUGAAAUGAAUGGUGAAUGUGAAUAGUGAUUGUAUGUGGAUGUUCAUACUAUGUGGUUGUAUCUUAUACUUGUGCAACGCCAAGCAAAUAUAGAGAAGACUCUAUCCGUGUGAAUAGUGAAUUUUCGAUAUUUGUGACGGAUCUGACGUCCUCUGGGAUCAAGAUUUUUAAAAAAAAAAUUUGAGCACUUCCAUAUCGGUUUUAAAUUUAAAAAGAGACUCCGGGACAUGAGAGAGAGAGGAAAAAAUAGAGAGAGAGCGAGAGAGAGAGAGAGAGAGAGAGAGAGAGAGAGAGAGAGAGAGAGAGAGAGAGAGGAAAAAA
rnacentral:lncRNA from 1 species